GGCUCCUCGCGGAAGUGACGGCAAGGCGGCGAUGGCGGCUCGCAGUUUCAUUCCGGAUUUCCACUGGACUACAAACUGAUUUUAACCGGUCCGGUUAGACUUUGGGGAACUUUUGUACAGCUGUCUCUCCUCGGACGCCGCAAAGAGUGAAGUCGCGUUGAACCGUUGCUUGACAACGAGCGGCCCAACAGCUUUUUUGGGGUAUUUUUAUCCAAGGUUCAAGGUGGUCACCCUGUCGAGCUAGCGGUAGCUCGGCGGCUACUAGCUAACGUUAGUUGGUACACAGCUAGCUCUUGAGCUAGCUUGUCAACUAGCUGCGUGCUAAGGUUCAUACAUCAGCAGUCGUCGUGCAGCCGCCUCUCUUUUGACCACGUCCACGUUUAUCUUUUACAGUAACGAUGCGAAUGCACUCUAUUUAAUGCUAAUUGUGCCACAAGUGUGCAGAGCAAGAUACUCACACGUUUGCUUGGCCUCUUGUUCAUUUGAAUCGCUAGUUUGGCGGCUGUGGCUAAAGACGGAUUUUGACUCACUAGCAAGAAGGUUUCUUCAGUAAUUACCCCAACAACUUCGGGCAGAAGCGUGCUAUCAACUGAGAAUUGAAGUUGAGCUGCUGUGGGGUCUUUGCGUGCUUAUCAACAUGCUGAAGACCCGGCAGUGUUUACUUGGCAUCCGCACUUUUCUCGGCGUAACGUCCAGAAUAUGGGGCUUCAUCAUGUACAUCCUCAGGAAGCACCUGCGAACGAUAAUCCAGUAUCAGACGGUGCGAUACGACACUUUGCCUCUGUCACCUAUCUCCAGAAACAGACUGAAUGCAGUAAAGAGGAAGAUUCUGGUUCUGGACCUGGACGAGACGCUGAUCCACUCUCACCAUGACGGAGUCGUCAGACCCACAGUGAGACCUGGCACGCCGCCAGACUUUAUCCUCAAAGUCGUCAUUGAUAAGCACCCAGUCAGAUUCUUCGUACAUAAAAGGCCACAUGUUGAUUUUUUUUUAGAAGUGGUGAGCCAGUGGUAUGAGCUGGUGGUUUUCACAGCCAGUAUGGAGAUCUACGGCUCAGCGGUGGCAGACAAGCUGGACAACAACAGGAACAUCCUGAAACGAAGAUACUACAGACAGCAUUGUACAUUUGAUCUAGGUAGUUAUAUUAAAGACCUGUCUGUAGUACACGAUGACCUGUCCAGUAUUGUCAUCCUGGACAACUCGCCUGGUGCUUAUCGUAGCCAUCCAGACAAUGCAAUACCCAUCAAGUCCUGGUUCAGCGACCCUAGUGACACAGCACUUCUUAACUUGCUGCCUAUGCUGGAUGCACUAAGGUUCACUGCUGAUGUCCGCUCCGUCCUCAGUCGAAACCUCCACCAGCACCGGCUCUGGUGAUUGGCUGAAUCAAGAGGGGCGGGACUUGUUGACCAGCCUCUUCCUCUCUGCCGGCUUCCUUCCUGCCCUCCGUUCCCACACAGACGACCCACCAGCCCUCUCUGAGCCUCUCAGAUGUGUCCUGAGGAGAUGAGGGUUGGGGUGAACGCCUAUCACGGGAUGAACAGUAUGGGAUCACCAGAGCCCAGAAACUACUGGGAGGGAGGGAGAGCCAGCUUGUUUUUUUGUUUUUGUUUUUUUUUUUCUGUUUUUUUUUUUCCCCUUCUUCUUCUUCUUGAUUCUUUAUUUGUUUUUUGUUUUUGUUUUUUCCAAAACAAAAUGGAGCCUCUCUGCCUUAUCGCUCCUGAUACUGACUGUGCGCAUAUGGAGGUGAGCUUGUGUACAUGAGUCGGAGUAUGCUUGCUGAGUUCGUUAGUCCUUUUUAAACUUUUUGAAGAUUGGGAGGGGGGAAAGAGAGGGAUCAGCAAAGCAACAAAGACAACUCUACAUUAUUAAUUCUUGUUCCUCUCCAUCAUCAUCAGACGUUGCACUUCAGCAAACAACUCAUCAGUUUACUGUCUUAACCUCUCAGAGCAGCUGAGAUGGGGAAAAUAGAAAACCGCCCCUUUUUUAGAUCAAACUCGUACCCCAAACGGUCAUUCAUUGAGUCCCAAGGUACUUUCUUUUCCUCUCCCAACAAGAAUGGAUCGAUUUACAUGGUGUAAUUGAUGGAUUUUUGCUUUCAACAUACCAUCCACAGGCAUUUUUCUGGACAAAUAGCCAAGCGGUCUGCUAAUUUUUUUUUUUUUUUUUUUUUUUUUUCUUCCCAGCCAUAACAUCACUCUUUCCAUAAAACUCCACAUGGGACUCAGUGAUAAAGACUUGCCUGAAAAGUUGUGAGAAAAAAAGAAUGGCUUGUAACGAUAUGUGGACUGCCGUGCCGCCUUUCCAUAUCUGAUUGUUUCUCUGGUACCAAGAUAUAUGAUAAUAUGACUUCUGCAUACCAUGACAUUUCACUCUUCCCCUUUACCAUUUGAUGCCAUCCUGAUUUCAUCUAAAAGGAAUUGCACUUAAUUUUUUCCCCCUUCUGUUUUUGUUGCAGUUGGUUUUGUACUUGGUUCAAAUUUGAAGCCUUCCCCUUUCAGUUUCUACCCGCUCCCCUUAAUGUAUGGGUUCAACUAUUAGACCCUCCGUCUUUAAAUGCCUUCUGAACAAUGUCAGUCUUGUUAAGGCUCACAGCGGCUUCUCAUUGGCUCUGUCUCCAGGUCUGUGUUACUAAUAAAACACUUGUCAGUAUCGGCCAGUUACUAUCCAGCUUGUUUUCUUUUAAUGCAACUCAUUUUGCAGUGUUUUUUAAUUUAUUUUCUUUUUGGUCAUAUUUGAGACAUAACAUUUUGCAGCUUGUCAACUGGCUAACUUCACUGGGGAUAGAAAUGUGGAGAGGGAUUCAGUUUCUGUGUGAGACAAACUUUUGCUAAUAAUCUGCUGCCAUCAUGUGGUGUAACAGGGAACUGCAUUGGUCGACGCCAUAUUCCUACACUGCUCAAGAAACAAACUAACUCUAUUUUGGUUAAUGCUUUUCCACAAGAGAAUACCCUUCAGCUCCAAAGUAAGUGAUAAAGGUAUAUUGCCUCCCUCCUCUUACUGAUGGAAUCUACAUGGGUUGCCCCACAACUCAAAGGAUCUGACAACAGUUGCACUUGUUUAAAAGCAACCUAGGAACUGGACAAAAUCCUGUCCACAAGUGACUCAGCACAUUACAUCCUGUGCUUAAGCAGAGUAUAACCCACGAUCUUAAAAUCCCUGACACGGAAAAGAGAAGAUUAGCCUGUGCAUCGACAACUAUACAAUGAUCCAAAGGAACAACCCAUCACAAGAAUGUGAAGUACAUAGGGGAGUUCAGGCAGAGGUGUCACAUGAGCAAGCAGAGUGAGUCAGAGCUGUGGGCCACUUGCGCAAUGAACAGGUAAUCGUGGAGAAAGCCCCAAAAGCCAGAAUAGGAGAUCUGGACAAGAAGAAAUACCUUGUUCCUUCCGACCUGACAGUGGGCCAGUUUUACUUCCUCAUCCGGAAAAGA